CUCACUACCUCUCUGAAAAGAACUGGGGAAACUUCCAGCCUUCUAUCCAGGCAGCUUUGGGUUUAAGCAUGUUGGUUUUCUAUAUCCAUCCCUUUAUUGAAGGAGUGAA
ensembl:miRNA